GAUGAACGCUGGCGGCGUGCCUAAUACAUGCAAGUCGAGCGAACAGGCGAGGAGCUUGCUCCUCUGACGUUAGCGGCGGACGGGUGAGUAACACGUGGAUAACCUACCUAUAAGACUGGGAUAACUUCGGGAAACCGGAGCUAAUACCGGAUAAUAUAUUGAACCGCAUGGUUCAAUAGUGAAAGACGGUUUUGCUGUCACUUAUAGAUGGAUCCGCGCCGCAUUAGCUAGUUGGUAAGGUAACGGCUUACCAAGGCAACGAUGCGUAGCCGACCUGAGAGGGUGAUCGGCCACACUGGAACUGAGACACGGUCCAGACUCCUACGGGAGGCAGCAGUAGGGAAUCUUGCGCAAUGGGCGAAAGCCUGACGGAGCAACGCCGCGUGAGUGAUGAAGGUCUUCGGAUCGUAAAACUCUGUUAUUAGGGAAGAACAAAUGUGUAAGUAACUAUGCACGUCUUGACGGUACCUAAUCAGAAAGCCACGGCUAACUACGUG
rnacentral:rRNA from 1 species